CACACACACACAUAUAUAUAAUUAUAUUUUAAAGACUACUUAGCUCAGAUCUAUAAGCCUUGCUUCUACAAGUUCUUGCUCUUGCUUUCCAAGAUGAGCAGUUUUCUGGCGAAGUUGGUUUUAGCUGUUGUAACGGUAUAUCUUCUUCUUGGUGUUUUUCCUGCAACUUCUUCAUCAGUAGUACUUCUUCAUGGCGCUGAGAAGAGUAGUUUAUCGAGUGUUGACUGCAGAGGUGGCUGGAGAAAGAUAAUUUGGAGAAAAGAAGGUAGCUUUGGAUGUCUAAGCAAGAUUGUUAGCAAGAAAACUGUGCCCAUCCGGCGUAGCCUGAGAAAAAUCGUUACAUCCUCUCCACCGUCACCCCUUAAAAAUCGACAUAAAUCACAGGGUGGCUAUGCACCUCCUCCACUUAUUGCAUGAUGAUGGCUAUCUACGCUUAUAAAUUUGUCUAUGUUUGUUGAUCAUUCCUUUGAAAUUUAUUGUUUCAACUUGUUGCCUCAUUGCAAGUCCAAUAUUUGGCUUUGACGUUGUUUGUCACCAACAAGCUCUUUGUGUUGAACCUUGGGAGUCGAUGGAAGAUAGCUCCGUUGCUCUUACACGUACGGCUCGGGUGAUAUUCCUCCAAAUCUCAAAGCUGGGAAGAAGAUCAUGCUGCCCUGUGCUUACAUUAGGAAGUUUAUUGGUGCUAAUCCUUGUUUUUCAUCUUUUUUCCUAAUUGAAUCAACAUUGAUGUAUAUCGGAUUAUUACAAUAUAAAUUUAUUGCAAUGAGAAGUUUAUUUUA